UUUCUUUCUUUUUCUUCUCCUCUUUCUUUCUUCUUCUGAUGUUCUUCUCUGCGAGUUUGAGAGAAAUCGAGUGGAAGUUCUGUGUUCGGAAGAAGAUGGGGAAGAUUAUUAAGUAGAAGAUGGUGAUGAUGUUGUGGUCUGUUAAGCAUGGGAUGAAGGAGAAGAUUGAGUUACUGUAAUCGAAGUUAGGGUUAUAUAUUGGUUUAAUGUUCUGAAGAUUAAGAAGAUGGUAUAUACAUCUACUGUUGGAUGAGGAAGCAUGGGUAGAUGUUUAAUUGGAGUUCUGAAAUCGUUUUGAAGAUGAAUUGAAGAAUCAAAGAGCUAGGGUUUCUAUGAAUUCAUUGGAGUUCGAUUUAUGUGAUGAUUAAGAAUAAUUAAGGAUGGGUUUGAUAGAUUUGAAGAUGUAAGUGAUGUUUUGAACGUGAAUCUGGGAAUCAAAGAUUUGAAUUAAGAAUUAGGGUUUCAUAAGAAAAAUUCAGUAGAGAGUUUGAAUAUGAAAUUGAUAAUCUUGAAUAACGAUUGGAGAUGGGUUUGAUAUGAAUUAGGUUUAAGGUUGAAGAUCUUCUUGAAAUGGCAGUUAGGGUUCAAAGUUAUGAAUCUGAAGUUUAAUUGGUGGUUGAAUUGCAAGUUGUGAUGUGUUUGGAAGUGAAUUAUAUUUCCAGCAGAAUUGAUUUGGUGAAAUAGACAAUUCAGAGGUUGUUAAAGUUUGGGUAAGUCUCUACUUGUUCUAAUUUCGGUAUUUUGAGUUGAUGAAAUUGUAUAGUUUUCUUAGUUGGGAAUGAACCAGGAUUGGGAUAAUUGUAGAAUGGAGUUGUAAGUUUAAAGUUGUAGGGUUUUUGUGAUGAAUAGCAGGGGAUUAAUGUUGUAUGCUUGGAAGAUACAAGUAUUGAUUAUAUAGAUGAAUGUUAGGGUAUGUAGAAGGAAUGAAUACUGAAGAUUGUUGAAGUGGACAUAUUAUAGAUAGAACUGGGAUCAUAAUGGUUAUUAGGUUUAAGUGUUACUACGGAGAAAUGUGGAUUCAAAGAUGAAUUGUAUUGUUGUUGUUGUGGUUUGGAAUUGCAUGUGUUGUGACUGGAAUUAGUUGUGUCGGUGGUUUAAGAUGAUGGUUGUCUGUGUAUUGAAGUUGCAGGGGAUAUGAGUGAUCUGUUGAAGUUGUGAAGGUGCAAUUUUUGGUUGUAUGGGUCUGAAUUAGGUUAUGUUGAAGUACAUGGAGCUUGGGUUAUAAACUAAGUUGAUGUUGAGUUAUGAGUUAGACCAAGUGGUUGUAGUUGAAUUUGGUGACGAUUAUAGAGUUUGAGUUUAGUGCUUAAGGUGCAGUUGAGUUUGGUUCAUUGGAUAAUGGGGUAAAUGUUGAUGAUAUUGGUAUUGUGUCUCAAGUAGGGAUUAUGGGAACAAAUUGCAAGAGUAAUUGCAGGUCUGAAGUCUUUGAGCUUUGAUGUUGAGAGUUAGGCGAGUGUAAGGUUUUGCAGAGAGGAUGAAUUGGUGUUAGUUGCUCUUAGUGUUUGCUGUAAAAGCUUGGAACGGCUUUUGCAGUUAGUUUAUAUUAACAACGAUCGAUUCAAAGGAUGAACCAGUGGAUCUCGAGGUAGGCGUGGCUUGUCAUCAAAAGAGUUUCAGAGACAGAUAAGAGUUACGCAGCGGAAGCUUCAAGGAGUUGAAUUCGUUAGUUGGUUAACUUUUGUUAUGUUUAUUAUGUUGCAUAUUAUAUUUGCAUAGCAAACGACUAUUGUAUAUGUAUCAUUUGAGAGAAGUUCUUGUAUAUAUAUAUAUUUCUGAGCGGGG